rnacentral:rRNA from 1 species
UACGUAGGGUGCGAGCGUUAAUCGGAAUUACUGGGCGUAAAGCGUGCGCAGGCGGUCUGUUAAGACCGAUGUGAAAUUCCCGGGCUUAACCUGGGAACUGCAUUGGUGACUGGCAGGCUUUGAGUGUGGCAGAGGGAGGUAGAAUUCCACGUGUAGCAGUGAAAUGCGUAGAGAUGUGGAGGAAUACCGAUGGCGAAGGCAGCCUCCUGGGCCAACACUGACGCUCAUGCACGAAAGCGUGGGGAGCAAACAGG